GAAUGUGAGGGCGAUCUGGCUUUGACAUCUGUCACCCCACUGAUCCUCAGGGUUGAUUCGGCUGAUCUGGCUGGCUAGGCCUGUGUCCCCUUCCUCCCCGACUGCUCCAUGUGCAGCCUUCCCAAAGCUGCGCACUCUCUUGGUCAAAGAGGAGACCUUCCCCAAAUAGAGGCAGAUUGGUCUUGGGUCAACAGUAUACAGUAGCUGUGUUCCCCUGCUAGAACCUCCAGACAAGCUCUCAAAAUGGUCAUGGGCUCAUUUCCAAAUGCUUUCAUCAAGAGGUAGGAUCUAUUUUCU
ensembl:misc_RNA 7SK 7SK RNA